UGUCUCCAGUCCUGGUUGUCCUGAGUUAUCCCAGUGCCUCUGGGUCCAGUUAUCCCAGUCCUCCAGGUCCAGUAGUCCCGGGUUAUCCAAGUUCCAGUGCCUCCAGUCCUGGUAGUCCUGGGUUAUCCCAGUCCUAGUGCCUGCAGCCCGGGUUAUCCCAGGUUAUCCCAGUCCUCCAGAUCCAGUUGUCCCAGUUUAUCCCAGUCCUGGUGCCUGCAGCCUGGGUUGUCCCGGGUUAUCCCAGUCCCGGUGCCCCCAGACCCGGUUGUCCCAGGUUAUCCCAGUCCUGGUGCCUCCAGACCCAGUUGCCCCG
rnacentral:lncRNA from 1 species